AGCUCCAAGAACCUGGUAUUUCUGUGACGACUGUGCCAGAGGGGUGGUCACCAUCACUGGAGGCUUAUGUGUCAACAUGCAGACAGAGGAUGGCCAUGAGUGCUUCCAAACACCUUCUAUCUACCUGGCUCUGGAGAAAUGGCAGGAAGCAAGAAAGAUGGCUCCUGACCUCAAGGCUCAGGGAAUCCAGUACUACAACCAGUGGCCAACACAGGACACGGGGGGCCAAGGAGAAGACUACCCCCUCACAGGCACCCCGGAGGGCUUCUCCAAGGAAACACCUUGACACCCUUAGGACACCCUUAGGCCUACAGAGGUUAAGAGGCGCCAUUCUAUGCUUCCGACUCAUAACUUACAGGGAAGUCAGUACUGCAAAUAUCCUGGUUUCUCGGGGUCCCAGGACUCAUGAGGGAGGUUAAAAAUACUAGUACAGUUGGAAAAAUUGAUUCUACCACCACGGCUUUGAUUAGAAUGUGACCUGAGAAUCUACAAAGUGUGCAACCUGCAAGAGCUGUUCUGAGCCUUGUGAGUAGAAUGUCACUUCCUGCCAGGUUUCCUCCAGUAACCUGAAGACAUUUGAAAGAUCUGAAAAGACAACUAAGUACCCCAAGGGAAGACUGAAGUUUGUCUUCAUUUUUGAACCUUGAAUAAUUUUCGAAAGUUCAAACAGAGGCGCCUUAUCAGACAUUUCAGGAAAACAAACUUAAGAAGAGUCUGUGUGGACUUUUCUUACUAAAUGUGUUGUUGUGUUCUUAUUGCUGUUGCUAGGAGACAGUUUCACGUAGCCCAUCUCUUGCUGAGGAUGACUUUGAACUUCUGAUCCUGUCUCCACUGCCAGGGUGCUGGGAUUCCAGGUGACUGCCUUUUUCAGUGCUGGUGAUACAACCCAGAGCUUUUCAAAAGCUAGGCAGAAAGCCUACAAGGUUAGCUGUGUCCCAAGCCUUUUCUACUAAAUUUCUGUAAGUAGUGUAGCGUAAGGUUCAAGAGACUGAUGUGGCUACAGAAAAGAAAAUUAUGCUUCAGAGAAAACCUCAAUACACUUUUCUAAGACUGUGGACCUGCUCACUGCUUUGGAAUUUAUUGCUAUUAUUUAUUACCUACAGACUGAAGUGGUUAGUGAUUUUUCUAUAUCCCUCCAUUUGAAUUUUUUUCCACCUUUCCAAUGUAGAAUCACUAAGAACAAGAAUUGAUCUGUUCCUGAAAUUCCGAAGCAGGAGAGAGAGCCCUUGACGUAAUUCCAGAAGCUAACCUGCCCCUGAGUGCUGGCCACCAGGAGAGGUCAGCCAUCUCCCCAGUGCCAGAAAUAGCAGUAUUCAAGGAGCAAGCCUGGAGUCAUGCCUUGAGCUCAACUCCAGAAAUCUUGGCUAACUUCUUUCCAGACUCUGAUUGAUUUUGUUUGCUCUGAUGAUUUCAUCUUUCCUGUGCUUUUGUUCCACAGAAAGAUUAUUUUGAGGCAGGUGUGGUGGCACAUACCUCUGGGAGGCAGAGGCCAGCCUGGUCUACAGAUCAAGUUCCAGUACAGCUGGGGCUACACAGAGAAAUCUCUCUAAAAAAAAGAACCAUAAAAUAAUAGGUUUCUGUUUUUAUGAUGACAGACGCCUAUAGUCCCUGCUACUAAGGCAGGAAAUCGCCUGAGAGCAGAAUUCAAAACCAGUCUGGGCAAGAAGCAAAGCAGUGCAUGGUAGCUCCUUUCUGUAAUCCCUGCACUCAAAAGCUAAGGCAGAAGAACUGUCAAAAGUUUGGGGCCAGCCUGGGCUACAUACUAAGUUCAACACCAAUCUGAGCUACAGUGAAACCCUAUCUAAAAAAAAAAAAAAAAAAAAAAAAAAUAUAUAUAUAUAUAUAUAUAUAUACACACAAUGUAUUUUCUAAUUUGUUACAUCUAUUUGUGUAUUAUAUCUAUGAGCACAUGCGUGUGUCAUGACCCACAAGUGGAGGUCCUGAAGGCCUCAGCUCUCUCCUUCUACCAUGUGGGUUCCCAGGGUUAGCAGUAAGUGCCCUUACCCACUAAGCCAUCUUGCUGGCCCUAUAUUGUUUAUAUAUUCAAAAUAUACGAAGAAUUUUUUUUUUCAAGACAGGGUUUCUCUGUACAGGCUUGGCUGUCCUGGACUCGCUUUGUUGAACAGGCUGGCCUCAAACUCACAGAGAUCUGACUCCCUCUGCCUCCCCAAGGGCUGGGGUUACAGGUGUGGGCCACCACUCCCGGUUCAAAGAUGUCUUAUAGUUCAACAAUAUGAAAAAAAAAAAAAUUAAAAAAAAAAAUUAAAAAAAAAAAUUUUUAAGUGAACAAAGGCCUUCACUUUUCUCCAAAGACACACAAAUGAGCAACAAACUCAGGAAAAUAAGCUUAAUAUCACCGGGCAUUACGAAACCACAAAACCACAAUGAAAUACCACACCAUUAUCCAACAGGACUACAAUUAAAAUAAUAAUAAUAAAGCACCAGACAGUCAUCGGAAAGAAUGUAAAGAUGCUGGAUGCUCAUAUAAACAGCUGAUAAUAAAGUCUGGUGGAAAACAGCUUAGGAACUCCUCAAAACUGGAAGAACUGUCAUAGCACCUAGAGGUUCCAUUCCUUGGAAUAAACCCAGAAGAAAUCUAAACAAGUGUUCAUAGAACUACAUGUACAGACAUGCUUGUGACAGCAAUACUCAUCCAUCAGAAACCAGCUGGAGGGAUGGCCCAGCUGUUAAGACUGGAUACUGUUCAGCCAGGUAGCAAUGCACGCCUUUAAUCCCAGCAGGUGGAUCUCUGAGUUCCAGGCCAGCCUGGUCUACAGAACUAGCUCCAGGAUAGACAGGGCUGUGGCACAAAGAAACCCUAUCCUGGGGGGAAAAAAAGAAAAGAAAAGAAAAAAGAAAAAGAAAAAAACGCUCUUGCAGAGGGACACAGGUUUGGUUCCCAGUAUCCACACUGUGUAGCUCACAACCAUCUCUAGCUCCAAGGGAUCAGAUACCCUCUUCUGGCCCCCAAGGACACCUGUGUGCAUGUGAUGCACAGAUAGACAGGCAGGCAGGAGUGCACAUGAAUGCACACUCACACACUCACACACACACACAUUUUAAAGUAGAAACAACCUAUAUAUCCACCAGCAGAUGAAUGGAUAAGCCAGACACCAUGCAUAAAGACAAUAUAAUGUUUUUAGCCUUAACACAGAAUGAAGGGAAGUGAUCUUUCAAGGCAGAUGAGGCUCAAAAAGACAAUGAGUAAAAGAAGCUAAAUACAAAGGGCCAUAUUAUAAUUCCAUUGAUAUGAAACAGCAAGAACAGGUAAAUGCAAAAAGAAAUUAUGUUCUCAGCUGACAGGUUAGCAAAAGAGGGUAACGCUGAAAAAUUGCCUAAUAUAUCUGAGGUAUUCUUUGGAGCAGUGAAAAUAUUUUGGGAUUCAACAACAUUUGCCUACAAUACUGUUAAUGUAAGGACUGCCACUGGAUUGUCAAUAAAUCUCAAUUUUAUGUAA